rnacentral:rRNA from 1 species
ACUCAAAGGAAUUGACGGGGGCCCGCACAAGCAGCGGAGCGUGUGGUUUAAUUCGAUGAUACGCGAAGAACCUUACCUGGGCUUGACAUGUAGGUAGUAGUGAAGUGAAAGCGGAACGACCCUUCGGGGAGCCUACACAGGUGUUGCAUGGCUGUCGUCAGCUCGUGUCGUGAGAUGUUGGGUUAAGUCCCGCAACGAGCGCAACCCUCGUCGCUAGUUACAAGUGUCUAGCGAGACAGCCGGAAUCAAACCGGAGGAAGGUGAGGACGAUGUCAAGUCAGCAUGACCUUUAUGUCCAGGGCGACACACACGCUACAAUGGCCGGUACAAUGGGCAGCGACACCGCGAGGUGAAGCUAAUCUCCAAAGCCGGUCUCAGUUCGGAUUGCAGUCUGCAACUCGACUGCAUGAAGGUGGAGUUGCUAGUAACCGCGCGUCAGCCAUAGUGCGGUGAAUACCGUUCCCGGGCCUUGCACACACCGCCCGU